GUAUGUCUUGGGAGACCUUUCCAAAUUAGGAUGUAUAGCUCUAGCUCAUUCUCUGCAGUGAAGGAGACAGCACGCUGAGGACAGUCCUAAAGGAUUGCUCUCUUAUCCUGCUCUGUCCCGCCAAGGCAGCCUCCCAGAGAAAAACUUCAGUGGAAACUUGCCACCUUGCCCUGACCUGGGCAGGAGAGAACGCUGGGGGACUACAGCUGAUCGUGUCCCUCCUGGAUGACGGGCUCGGGCGUGCCGGGGCGCGAGGGAGACGGGAGCUGAGCCCAGGGCGCGCAGGGACCGCUGAGCGCCCGGCGUCUGUCGUCUGUUAGCAGAAGUGCGUCUGGCUGUGACCUCAGCGGCUCCACCGAGGCUGGAAGCCUCCAGCACGGGUGGGAGCCGGUCCACUUGCCCGCCCCUCGCCUGGGUCAGCAGAGGCUUCUCCUGAGAGACCGACGGCCCCACCAGCUCGGGUGGAAGUGGGGCGAGCCCCAGAGACGGCUUACCCCACUUAGAAGAUCCGCCCGCGGGCCCUUAGUGGGUGAAAUGAAACCUAAGAACUCAGAGGAUACUUGGAGUGGAAGUGGGUCUUUGAAUGUCUCCCUCCAGAGCGGAUGCUGCAGGUGGGUCCGUGGCUCCAGGGCAGUGCAGUUUCAGGUGUACAGCAAAGAGAAUCAGUUAAAACUGGGCAGCCUGGAACCUUCUGGCCCACACCACAGAGGGCCCCACAGGACUUCUCCACCAUCAGCACCAAGCCCCACUUCAAGGGAAGAAGAGAUUUUUCAUCUGAAAUCCCAGCCCAGCCCUGGAAUCAUCCCAGCCUGGUGCCAGAUGGUGAAGAAGCCUCUAGAAGACUCCAGUCACCUGAGUUUCACCUGGAGCAAAGACAAGGCAUUCCACCACACCCUUCCUAAAUUUCUGACCUACAAAUUCAUGAAUGUUAGAAAAAUGAUUGUUUUAUUUUAAAAAAAUCACAAAGUAGACUAAAACUCUUCUCUGGUCAUUUUUUUUUUUAAACAUUUUUCUUAGUAUAU
rnacentral:lncRNA from 1 species